rnacentral:rRNA from 1 species
AAUCAACGCUGGCGGCGUGCCUCAGACAUGCAAGUCGAACGCGAAAGUUUCCUUCGGGGGAUGAGUAGAGUGGCGCACGGGUGAGUAACACGUAGGUAAUCUACCUUUGGAUGGGGAAUAACAAUCGGAAACGGUUGCUAAUACCGCAUAAUGCAGCGGCACCUAAUGGUGACAGUUGUUAAAGCGGGGGAUCGAAAGACCUCGCGUCUGAAGAGGAGCCUGCGGCGGAUAGCUAGUUGGUAAGGUAACGGCUUACCAAGGCGACGAUCCGUAGCCGGCCUGAGAGGGCGGUCGGCCACACUGACACUGACAUACGGGUCAGACUCCUACGGGAGGCAGCAGUCGGGAAUUUUGGGCAAUGGGCGAAAGCCU